rnacentral:snoRNA from 1 species
AUCCCAUGAUGCAGACAUCUUCUAAGUAGUUCUUUAAACUUCUCCCAAGCUUCAUACAAGGACUCACCAUCAUAUUAUGUGAAUGCGGUGAUAUCGUUCCUCAUCUU